CCCUCUUCCUGGCUGCUAAAGUUGACACAAGACGGCUUCUUGGAACUCCCCCUCCUCCCGCCUAAAUGUACAGAGCAAGACUUGAAGUCAAAAGAUAGAUAGCGAUCGUGCUGAAAGUCAGGUGGAAAACAAGACUGCUAAUUUUAUGAAACAACCUAUCAACCCACUGGGAAGAGAUGACAAGAGGUACAUGGGCGCUUCUGCAGGAGGUGGAGGUGGAGGUGAAAUGCCGAGGUUCUAGACUGAUGUAAAUUUCUCCAACUAACUCCAGAUCGAGAGCCUACAAAUCCGACAAAUAUGCCCACACUUUGACAGUAACCGCCUCCCAGCACGCCCCACCACCGCCAACACACAUGGAGGGGUUUGAACUUUUCCACCUUCCGGACCUCUGCAGUCCGUCGCAGGACGCCCAAACCACAGGCCGGACACAGAUGAAGCCAGACCACAGCCCCCGCCCCAGCCACCGCGGUAGGCCUAAGGAAAGCAGCCGAUGGCUCCCAAGACAACUCUGUCCGGCCAGUACUCCAGGGCAACUUCAACCCCACUAGGACCCAGGCCAAAACCAUAUAUAUAUAUAUAUAUAUAUAAAUUAACGCAAAACAGAGCCACUUUGGUGCCUACCCCUCCACAAGUAGGUAGGCACAUCCAGGUAGCUCUGUCAGAAGAUGGGACCUGGCGCCUUGCAGGGGUAGCCCUAUGGAGAUCCAGAAGCCCCGUUUCGAGCUACGAAGUCUCUCUUCUACUGCAGUCUUCUCUCCAACGUGGAGAUCUAGCAACUUCCCUCCCCCUGGGAUUCCCUGUGAAUCCACUCUAGUUGGGAUAUAGCCUCUCUACAGCUCAGUGACGUAGCGCGCCAAAACCAAGUACCCACCCCGGCAACUGGAAGACCUAGCUGUCCUCCAUCCCGCCUCCGCAGUCGAUAAUCUCCAGGAUCCAAGCAAAGUGCCUGUCCACGUUGUCACCAGAUCCACAAGCGCUUUUGAUGAGAGCUGCUACCCUUUUGGAAACACGAUUCCCUCUCCCUAGUAGAGAAGAAUCUAUUCUUCUGGGCUGGCGUAGACAAAGAAUAACCAAGAUAAAGUAUGUGGUGUGAAAAUA
rnacentral:lncRNA from 1 species